CAGCCGGGCAAGCGUUGCCAUGGCAGCGCUGCGGGCUGGGAUGCAGGAAGCUGAGCGCGCCGCCCAGCUCGCCCCUUUGUGCGGCGGAGGCGGCGGUGCGUUCUCCCCACUCCCGCUGUACCCCGCCUCCCCCGCCCGGACUGCGCGGCCGGGAUAAGGAGCAGCUACAAAGACGACGCCGGCUGCGCUCGGGGGACCAGAGGGAGGGAGGCUGCGGACGAGUGAGGGAGGCGUUUGUGAUGGGAGGCGUUUGCAGGGGCUCCCCCAGUUCUGCGCUGUGAGCCGGGGCACAAAGAGCCCUCUGCACUAGCGCCGCAGGACCGCGGACCGGAGCUAGAGGCACCUCCCUGCCUACCCAUAUGGUUCCAGACACGUUCAUGUGGCUGCCAUGACCCCAACGGCAUCAAAGGAGUAACCAAGAGUAUAACAAGUCCUGGGAAAGAGAAGAGAGAAGGAAAUUUCCAGGUUCCUCAAGACAUUACCACCAACAAUGUUGCAGAUAAGUAUUCAAACUUACCAGCCCACAGCCUACCUGCCUGCCCUGUCCUGGUCUGUGCAGGAAAGUGUAGUGUCCUGGGAUCCCAAAGUGAGAGGGGAAAUUGUUGACACAGUUUAUUUGCUUUUCUAUCUCUAUGCCAGAAAGAAAGAGCUUGUCCCCAUUUUAUGGGGUGCCAGAAAAGGUGAUUUUCACACCCCACUUUUGUCAUCAGGGCUAGUAUUUUAUAAACUCCACUGUCAGGAACUUUUGUAUAGCUGAGUUAAGUGACUUCAUCUUGUGUACCUGUAGAUCUGGUAUUGAAAGGGCGCUGGCUGGGGGCUCCCUGGUGACUUGGACUGGCCCUUUCAGCUCCGGCCUUUUGUGAUCAUAUUUAUAAAACCCUGGCCAGGGCUCCUUGGCCUUACAGUCAAGGUGGGACCUCAGUAUUGUGCCUGUAGGACACAUUCUUCUGAGUACAUUCUGCCUGUAGUACACAGUUUGAGUACAUCUACAGCUCUGGACCUAUGCCCCGAGUCUCAGGUGCUGACUGCAAGGUCUGAUAAUGUGCCGAGAGGGUCCCCUGACUCACCUGGCUCAGGUGUGCCAGCUGAUGAAGAUAGCAGAGCUGUUACCAAAAGUCAAAUCUGGGAGAUGGUUCUGGGUCAGGACACAGGUAGUCUUCUUCAGACUGGCAACACAGGGUGGUCUUAAAAGAGCCCUACCCCACCCUCUGACUCCCCAAGUUUCCUCUGCUGUAUAGGUCAUCAGAAAAGGGCAGAAGAAAACAAGUUGGGGGGGAGGGGGAAGGGGAAGCAGAAAAAUAACUGAGGCUGGGCAGAAGGGCCCCUCCUGUUUCUCAUCCAUUGCCUAAAGCAACAGGUUUCUAUCGUGCACUUGGGGCGAAUGUCAGGGCUGGAAGGGUCCC